rnacentral:rRNA from 1 species
AUUGAACGCUGGCGGCAUGCUUUACACAUGCAAGUCGAACGGUAACAGGGUGCUUGCACCGCUGACGAGUGGCGAACGGGUGAGUAAUGCGUCGGAACGUGCCGAGUAGUGGGGCAUAACGCAGCGAAAGUUGUGCUAAUACCGCAUACGUACUGAGGUAGAAAGUGGGGGACCUUCGGGCCUCACGCUAUUCGAGCGGCCGACGUCUGAUUAGCUAGUAGGUGAGGUAAAGGCUCACCUAGGCGACGAUCAGUAGCGGGUCUGAGAGGAUGAUCCGCCACACUGGGACUGAGACACGGCCCAGACUCCUACGGGAGGCAGCAGUGGGGAAUUUUGGACAAUGGGCGAAAGCCUGAUCCAGCCAUGCCGCGUGUCUGAAGAAGGCCUUCGGGUUGUAAAGGACUUUUGUUAGGGAGGAAAUCCCUAGUGCUAAUAACACUGGGGGAUGACAGUACCUGAAGAAUAAGCACCGGCUAACUACGUGCCAGCCGCCGCCGUAA